GGAAAGGUACCUCCUAUCCGCAGCUACAGCAGAACUCAAGAGGGCUAGAAAGCGGCCUGGAGUGAGCCUAUUGACUGAGGCCAUAGGCGGGGCAGGAGAACUCAGGAAGGACCGGACACCCCUGCCUGGCUGGGGAAGAAAUUAGACCUUUUCACGGAGGCUGCGGCACUUGGGGCAAGCAAGCUUCUAAGUGUGGACCCAGCUUGCUUGUGUGGAUGGGGAGGCUAGCAAUCCUGUCACAGGAGCAGUGUCGGCAGAGGCCAAAGGCAGGAAACCCUUAACAAGGUGUGUUCUAGGCAGCAAAGAGGGCAGUUUGCUUGAAGCUUGGAUGCAGGAAGGACAGUCGCAGAGGCUAAUGUUAGGGGUGUGUGCUGGCACAGGAUUCUAGGGGCUUUGAGGCAGUUUGCGGUCAGUGAUAGCCACCAAAUGGUGUUGAGCAGGAAUGUCAUGUGAGACAGUGUAGGGCAAUGGUUAUGUCCAGGCAUUCAGGAAUUAGCCUGAGUUCAAAUACCAGCUUGAAUUCAAAUACAGUUCAUAGGUGGCAAGUUAUCAUUGAGACGUAGUCUCCCGUCUGCAAAAUUGGGGGAAAUGAGAACAGCUCCCCACCUGGCGGAGCUCUGAGGCCUAAGUGGAGAAAGCCCUGACAAGUCCGUGUUGCGUGGAGCCUCCAUUCAUCUCAUUUGAACUCUGGCUUGUGAGCUCGUCAUCACUGUGGGAGAUAAAUCGGGUUGGGGAAGUAGGUGCUGAAACCAGGGUUCCUGGAGAGAUGGAAACGGGGGUGACCAUGCCAGUUAUGGCCAACAAAGGACUCUGAAGGUGGGCGUGGGUGACAUCAGAAUCACUGAGGGGUCAGAUGGGUGUGUGGAUUGGGCAGGUAAAGAAGACAGGGGAGAGAGGCCUGCAUCUCUGUGGCAAGAAGAGAGACGGCAGCUGAGUAACAGAGGUUCUUGAGCAGAGCAAGAUGGAAGAAGUAGGGGGCUCAUGAAUGAGGAGAUAGCCCCGGAAGGCUACACUGUGAAGUUUUGUUCAGAGUAUGGGAAUGUCAAACUGGAGGCUGAGCUGUGAGGAGGUGUGCUCAGGCAGGGGAGGAAAACCAAAGCUAUACUGCCGAAGAAGAGAGGACAUGCAAGCAGACGGAAGACAAGGAGGGUCUAGAAGAGUACUGUAACCGCUCCCUGCAUGGCAAUCAACUUGUGGCUUCCCGUUAGACCCAAGCUUAAGGUCUGCUUUGCUCCCAGCAAAGCUGUGUGCUAUUGGGUAGGUUGUUGAGUCUCUCUGAGCCUCUGUUCCUUGGCCUGUCAAGUGAGUGUGGUAAUAGAACCUCCCACAUAAGGCAAUUAUGAGAAUUAAAUAGGGUUCUGUUUGUAAGUCCUGAUUGCCAUGCCUGACCCCAGCAACAAAGCCUAGAGGAAUGGCAGCUGGAGAUCUGAUAUUCAUUACAAACCCCAAGUUUCUGUCUCAGAGUUUCUACUGCUAUGAUAAGACACCAUGACCAAAAGCAACUUGUGGAAUCCAGGCGCUUACCACACCCAGGACAGCUCCAGAGAAGCAACCUUCAGAUGCUCCAAUCUCCUCAGACACAGCUAGCUUCUACUGGACCUGUUCCUUGUGACCAAUCUUCAGAUGGCUCCACAGACCCUGGACAGCAAGGAGGCAGCCAAUUCUCCCAAGACUGGACAAACAUCCACCAUACCCAUCCCUCUAGGUUCCCCAGAGACACGUCAUUCCCAAUGUCAGCAUGAAGCAGCCAGAUAUCACCACGACCCUAUUCCUGCUUCUCUGUCACCUCUUUCUAAUUUUUUCUUUUUUAAUUAAAUCAAAACAGGAGACUGUUAGGAUUCUAUCUAACUCCACCCCACAGUUACCUGGCAAUAGCCAGGUAUGCUCCUCUCCACAGUUACCU